UGAGUAACCUGCCCUGGACUUUGGGAUAACCCUCGGAAACGGGGGCUAAUACCGGAUAUGACCUGCCGUUGCAUGGUGGUGGGUGGAAAGAUUUUUUGGUCUGGGAUGGGCUCGCGGCCUAUCAGCUUGUUGGUGGGGUGAUGGCCUACCAAGGCGACGACGGGUAGCCGGCCUGAGAGGGCGACCGGCCACACUGGGACUGAGACACGGCCCAGACUCCUACGGGAGGCAGCAGUGGGGAAUAUUG
rnacentral:rRNA from 1 species